rnacentral:snoRNA from 1 species
CAACCAUGGUUUGGGCACUUUUGUAUCAUUAUUUUAAAAUGCUCCAAGGCUUUCUGAAAGAUUACUCCUUCUAGUUGUUUAAAUGUGGUGAUCUCUCUCCUCAGUUG